rnacentral:rRNA from 1 species
AUUGAACGCUGGCGGCAUGCUUUACACAUGCAAGUCGAACGGUAACAGGGAGCUUGCUCCGCUGACGAGUGGCGAACGGGUGAGUAAUGCGUCGGAACGUGCCGAGUAGUGGGGGAUAACGCAUCGAAAGGUGUGCUAAUACCGCAUACGAACUGAGGUUGAAAGUGGGGGACCUUCGGGCCUCACGCUAUUCGAGCGGCCGACGUCUGAUUAGCUAGUUGGUGAGGUAAAGGCUCACCAAGGCGACGAUCAGUAGCGGGUCUGAGAGGAUGAUCCGCCACACUGGGACUAGGACACGGCCCAGACUCCUGCGGGAGGCAGCAGUGGGGAAUUUUGGACAAUGGGCGCAAGCCUGAUCCAGCCAUGCCGCGUGUCUGAAGAAGGCCUUCGGGUUGUAAAGGACUUUUGUCCGGGAGCAAAUGCUGGUGGCUAACAUCCACCGGAGCUGAGAGUACCGGAAGAAUAAGCACCGGCUAACUACGUGCCAGCCGCCGCAGUAACAC